GGGGGUGUAGCUCAGUUGGGAGAGCGCGUGCUUUGCAAGCACGAGGUCACCGGUUCGAUCCCGGUCACCUCCA
rfam:Elusimicrobia bacterium RIFCSPLOWO2_01_FTLL_59_12 rifcsplowo2_01_scaffold_8144, whole genome shotgun sequence.